rnacentral:rRNA from 1 species
UUGGAGGGCAAGUCUGGUGCCAGCAGCCGCGGUAAUUCCAGCUCCAAUAGCGUAUAUUAAAGUUGCUGCAGUUAAAAAGCUCGUAGUUGAAUUUCGGGACCAAUAUGUCGGUCGUGCCUCGGUACGUACUGGCAUCGUUGGUUUCUCCCUUCUGACGAACCAUGAUGUCAUUUAUUUGGUGUCGUGGGGAAUCAGGACUGUUACUUUGAAAAAAUUAGAGUGUUUAAAGCAGGCUCACGCUUGAAUACAUUAGCAUGGAAUAAUGAAAUAGGACGUUUGAUUCUAUUUUGUUGGUUUCUAGGAUCGACGUAAUGAUUAAUAGGGAUAGUUGGGGGCAUUAGUAUUCAAUUGUCAGAGGUGAAAUUCUUGGAUUUAUUGAAGACUAACUACUGCGAAAGCAUUUGCCAAGGAUGUUUUCAUUAAUCAAGAACGAAAGUUAGGGGAUCGAAGACGAUCAGAUACCGUCGUAGUCUUAACCAUAAACUAUGCCGACUAGGGAUCGGAUGAUGUUAAUUUUUUAAUGACUCAUUCGGCACCUUACGGGAAAC